UGUCCCUCCCCAAUCAUCAGAAUCGGUCGCCCGCGUUCUCCUUUUGCUCCCCAUGCCCUCAGCUUGACUCGGGGUGGCCGGAGCUCCAAGAUCGGGGAGCUCCCGAGCUCAUCCGCGCUCCUCCCAUGGCGGGUAGGCGAGAGGUGGAAGACGACCGGGGCGCCGUUUGCCCCCGACGUCCCUCCGUCCACCCGCUCCCUCCCAUGCCGCCAAGCGGGUCCCACCCGGGGGUGACGGCGUUACCCCCUCCCUCCGUCACACCCCCGCCUGGCCCUCCUUGGUCCUGGUCCAGUGGACCACGGACCCGCGCGACGCUGGGUCCACCAGCUCGUAGGCCCGGCGCACGGCACAGUACGCCUGGCGUCCCAUUCCGGCUCUUCAAAAAUGCUACGCGCACCCAGUAAGUGCACACAGACUUUUACUUAGAGAACUUCCCUGUUCCAAAAGUUCCCCAAAAUUCUCCAAAAAUACUACAAAAUAUUAUAAGCC
rnacentral:lncRNA from 1 species